rnacentral:rRNA from 1 species
GACGAACGCUGGCGGCGUGCCUAAUACAUGCAAGUCGAACGGACAGGCCCUGCUCUUGUUGGGUGCUUGUGUGGCGAACGGGUGAGUAACACGUGAGUAUCCCCUCCUUGUCUUUGGGAUAACUCCUCGAAACUGGGGCUAAUACCCGAUAGGAGCUCCUGCUGCAUGGUGGGGGUUGGAAAGUUUCGGCGGUUGGGGCUGGUCUCGCGGCUUCUCCGCUUGUUGGUGGGGUUGUGGCUUACCAAGGGUUUGACGGGUAGCCGGCCUGGGAGGGUAACCGGGGACAUUGGGACUGGGAUACGGCCCAGACUCGUACGGGAGGCAGCGGUGGGAAGUAUUGCGGAAUGGGCGGGAGCAUGAUACGGCGACGCCGCGUGCGGGAUGACGGCCUUCGGGUUGUGAACCGCUUUGGCCGGUGACGAGGCGUGAGUGACGGUAAUGGGUAAAGAAGCACCGGCUAACUACGUG